UGUGUCUGUGUUUGUUUGUUUGUACGUGUGCGUAGUUAACGUAUAUGUAUAUACACACAUGUAAGAUCUCGUUCGCACGUGGGAGCGUUUAAAGUUUUAUUACUCCGAGAUAUCGUGUGCGAGAUAGAACGUAGAAUUUGUUCCGCACUCGAGUCGUUUCAGAUGAAUUUCCGUGGAAUAAGGAAUCUUAAGGAAAUAAAUGAUAAGGAGAGCGUAUGAAAAGGUCGUUCGGAGAUCGUUUUUAAUUCCGAUUAUUUUAUCGGGCAAUUUAAAAGGACACAAUGUUUCUUUGAAACGUAUCGAUUAUCAACGAUCGCAGAAGAUAUAGUUUUAUCGUUUUUAUCGAAAGAGAUAUACUUAUGUAUAUAUUUUUAUAUCUUUGUUAUUGUUCGAAGUUGACUUUGAGUCGCGAGACGAGAGGGGUAGUUGUAUUAAUUAUUUAGAAACGCAGUAGUCGUAAGAUUUUCUCACAGUAAGAAUGUCGUUCGUUGUUUCUUUACUUUACUUACGCAUUUAUUUCUCGUCUCCGUACAUAUGUAUGUACGUAUGUAUAGGUGUAAUUAUAUAGAUAUCUCCUCGCUUAGAAGAAUGAAUAGCCAGUCUGGUGUGUAUUUUUAAAACCGCAACUGGUACGCGGCCGCGGUCGAUCCAGUAUGCUAAUCGUUAAUGUGUCUCAAACGUAAUAAUAAAGUUAAAUCGGUUGAAUGUUUGUUUAUCGAUACGCAACAUAACGCAUAAUGGAAAGUAAAACGAAUCAUCGAUUGUCUGACUCUGUGCCGACGGGUCUCACUGAUGAUAUAUAGGGUGGAAUGAAAACGUAGGGGAAAUUUGAAGCUUCGAACGAUGGCGGAACGUAGAUGUAACUUCGUUUCCUGUAUUACGAGCUACUAACGAGUUACUGCGUUCGAUGAAAUAGCAAACGAGGCAAUGGAAUUGACGGUCGUGAGAAAAAAAAGAGACAGAGAGAAAAAGAGAGAGAAAAGUAAGAAAAAGAAGAACGAAAUAUGUUUUUAAGAGUUUCUAUCAUUUUUUUCAUGAAACAUGAAUUAUGGAAGUCGAACUCAAAAGAAGCACACACGCAUACACAUACGUACGCUUGCAAAUGAUCAAAAAAUAUCAUCGUUAAAGAAAUAUCUAUAUAUACGAAUGAUUGUAACCACUUCCUUUGGUAUACAAAGAGUAGUAGUAGAAAGAAUUAAAAAAAAAAAAAAAAAAAAAAAGAAAAGAAAAAAGAAAACAGGGCGCAUUACGACGACCCUGGGAUUAUACAACGUGCAUUCCUGUUUUCAUCGGCUAUUCAUGCGUAUAUAACGCACGCGUGAAUUACGCAACAAUCGAAACAAAAAAAAAAGAAAAAAUAAAAAAGAAGAAGAAAAAAGAAUAAAUAAAGAGAGAGAGAGAGAGAGAGAGAGAGAAAUAAAAGGAAGGUGCAUGCUUACUACGCAUGGACAAAAAAAGGGUGCCGCUCACUUUUGCUAAUUCACCGUAUCACUCUCUUGUAAUCAUUGUAAUACAUGCAUGCUUUGAAACAUUUAUUCGCACAGUGGACAAUAAAACGUUUAACGACGUUGACACCUCUUAAAUACAGAGUCUGUUUCAAAUAGCACCGAGAGAUCUCAAUGAAAUACUAAUCCUAAGAGUAUUUCGAAAUAGUACAACGGGCUUCGAUUGUAAUUGCGUCACUAACGACAUAGGAGCAUAUAUAGAAUCACUGUCGCUCUCAGUGUAAACGGUAGUAAACGCGCUACGUCUAACAGUCUCUCCUCUCUUCGUCCUCGUCUUUUCCUUCUUCGACGUGCGUGUUUCCCCUCUUGUCUCCCUUCUCUUUCUAUCUUGAUGUCACUCGUCUGUAUACGCUCGUAUAUACAACUCGUGACCACACUCGUGUGCAAACAGAGACAGACAUCAGUGCGAAAUCACUUUCUUCCAAAGGAUCGAAACGACUUUUUUUACUAUGUCUUUCGUACGAGUUUAUUAAGAUUCUACGAAAUAUUCGAUGCGUAUCUCUGAAAUUUAUUAAUAUGCAAUUAGUGCGGAUCUCGUUUAUUAUACGAUCAUUUAGCUAUCAUAAAUGCGUACGUCAUUUAGCGAUCAUAAAUAUGUACGAUUUGAUUGGUACGGAUCAUAGAUCCUUUGAGAAACGUAUUCUUUUUUUUUCUUUUUUAUUCGAUCAACUUUAUAAUUCAAAGAUUGUAAAUUACACACGCAUAUAUAUUAUAUAUGUAAAUAUACAUAUUGUAUAUAGUAUAUAUAAACAUGUAUGAUAUUUGUACGCACACAUACAUAUACAUAAAAAAGGAGAGAGAGAGAGAGAUAUUUGUAUAUCAAAAUUAUAUUCGAGCUGAUCAAGAAGUACAAUGAUAAAUAUUAAAAUUUUGUAAAGUUGUUUUUUCUUAUAGUGUGCAUUUUUGGAUGCGACGCGCUGCUUUCUCUCUUUCUCUCUCUAUUUCUCUAUUCGUUCCUUUUCUUUCACCCACUCGCGAAUUGACGCACGAAUGCAGUAGAUCGUUUUUUCUACGAAUCGUCUAAUAUCUUACUCAUCUGCGUCAUCCGCCCAGAAAAUGCUAAACAGAAAAGAAUUUUAAUGGAUACGAGGGAGUAUUAUAAUGGACCGAACGACUACGCAUGUCGAAUCAUUCGGAAUUCAAAUUGACUAAAAUUCCAUGAACUAAAAACUAGAAAGAAAAAUUCGUAUAUUUAGACAAUAAUGUGGUAGACCGCUAAUGGAUCUUCGAUUUUAUAAAGAAAGAUAUAAACGAUUCUUCCCCGUUUCGUGAAAAAAAAAGAAGAAAGAAAAAAGAUAAUAAAAAGAAAAAAAAAACAGAAAAAAAGAAAAACAAAUCGUAAUUCGACGAUACGUCGCGUCAGCCGCAGCGCGUCUCUUGUUCACCUUUUUGCAGGCUUCUCUUUCCCCCAUAAACCCCGAGUGUUAAUUUUCAACUUGCGAAUUCCGCAUCGAAUCGAGCAAUACGAAGGAGACAACCGGAAAGUUAAACGCAAAUCGAAGGGAUCCUUUCAGCCAUCCAGUAUUUCCAUACUUCCUAUUCGUCUCGCGUUACGUCGCCUUUUUAUGACGGCCGUAUAUUUUCGUAUCAUUCGCAGUUAUAUGAUCGUCGUACUGGUGCAACAAUACGAAACUAAAACUUUGUUCGAAAUGCAAAUGGAAUCAAAUAGACGAAAAUAUCGGAAUACCUUGAAAAUGGAAGCUGAUAAUAAAAAGAUCGUCUCGGAUAUUUUCACGAGAUCCGUGAGGAUAUGAUACCGCAAUAUCGUUUUAAAUUCUUCGAAUAACGUUGCUAACGUAACCCUUCAUGACGUAAGAAAUAUGUUCGAAUUUAAAAGGACAGAGAGAGAGAGAGAGAGAGAGAGAGAGAGAGAGAGAGAGAAUUUUUAUCGAAGGCCGCAGGGAUAUUUUUUUUUAUACGAAUUCCAUGGAUCACGAAUUGGAACCAUCCCGAUGGAACGCUGCAAAUGAUCGUAAGAAUCGUUCGAGGAUAGAAAAAUCCUUGGAUCACCGAUAGGUACCUGCAUACGUAUAUACAUAUAUACAUCAUACAUACGUUCCGUUCGCCGAUCGGUAAAUAAUAACAGAGACAAAAGUCAUUUGUCGGCACGCGGCAAGCCGCAUGUCUACCGCAUCAUACCGCGUGAAUGGAACCGUGCCUCGCAAUAUUGUCUCGCUUUUGUUUGCCCGUCGAGGACGAGGUUUCAUGUUUCGGAGACACCGCAUAUAUAAUUUCCUGUUGACGAUUCUAACGUUAAUUUUCCAAAUAGCGAGUUUUGUUUGAUAGAUUUACCCACAUACAUAUAGACGUACGUACGUACGUACAUACAUCCGACGUGUGAAACAAAACUUAUGUAAAAUUCAUGUAAGAUCGUCUCGGUAUGUUCCGAACCAAGUACUUACCUACAUAUUAUAAUUACUGACUGAUCGAAUGAUUUAAUAGAUCGACCGACGUAGUAGGUACUCGCCGUCAGAGAAUAACACGUACCACAUACGCGUGCGUAUAGACUCGGUAGAGUACCUGCGGGUCAACGUCCUUUCGAAGGUUCGGAUCGUAAUAAGAGCGAGUGCGCAGUACCGUCGCAUACCGAUCUAUCGGUGCAAACGACUGGUCACAGGAACGGAUCGAUCCCGUACAAAUAACGUUUAUCUAUCUUUCUUUUACAACGAAUACAAAUGAUCAUUUUCAUUCGUCCGAUAAUUUCAAGUUAUUACGCGUAUCACGUAUAUUGAUUGACAACGCGAUUCAUUAAUGAAAUCUAACGAUUAAAUUCCUAUCGAUCUUUUACACGUCGACUUUAAUAUCAAACGCGAGAAAAUCAUUCAACUUGCGAACGAAUGAGCGCACGCGCACGCACCUUCCAAGAAAAUGAAUGAAAAUGAAAAUAUAAAUACGUAUUUCUUGUUCGGCUCGUUUACUCGUCGAGUUAAUACGCUCCUGAUCAGGUGGGGGAGGGGAGACGGGAACGUUUCCUCGAGGUUUCCUGUUAGACAGACUCGCGUUGACAUUUCGAUCUCGUUGCGAGCCAAUCCCUGCCAAUCACCCUGCGCGCUUGUAAUUCUUCGCCGUGGUUUGCCGACCUCAUCGUCCUCUCUCCCUCUUACAAUAAAUUUCCGCGAACGGGAUUGUACUCGCGCGUUCUCUUGUUCUAGUUUCGUUAAAAGCGACCUCGCCGGUGAUGCAUUAAUUCAGUGAUUUCAUUUUCUCGCCGAUCACCGAUCACAGGAUUUCAUACGUACUCGAUUCGUUAUACAUCGUUCGUACGAAGUACUGUCGUUAUUAUUGUAUUAUAUAACAGAAAAAUAUUCCAUCGGAAAGCUAGCAAUAUUUAUUUUCUUAUAUUAAUAAAAUCGGAUCAUCGUGUAAUUCGAAUUCGAUGAAAUUCGAACGAUUUAAGAUCGUUCGAGCGUCGAUGAUCCAACCGAUCGAGAGAUGUAUGGGUCCGUUGAUUUCUCGAAAAAAAAAAAAAUAUAUAAAAUUGGAAGGGUUAAGAAAGAUGCUUCAUUGUCCGUUCUUUUCUCGUUUACGGUACAUUAGCGUUUGUCACUUUUACUGUUGACUGGGGUUACUCGAGCAUUGACCGCUCGCUCGUCCGUCCAUUCAACGUGCAUUACUAUGGCGGCAAGCGUGCUCGUGCAUAUACACUCCGUAGAUCCUCUUUUUGUUUCCUCGGUUACACGUGCUCGGUCCUUCCUAUUCAUUCGUUUUGCAUACCCCAUUGUAAACAGAAGUUAAGAUAGAUAGAUAGAUAGACAGACAGACAGACAGAUAGAUAGAUAAAUAGAUAGAUAGAUAGAUAGAAAGAUAGAGACAGACAGAUAGAAAGAAAAAGAAAGAGAGAGAGAGAGAGAAAGAGAGUACCAAUAUACGAUGCUAUUGAACGGUGCAACGCGAUCGACGAACGAUCAAUGUACGAUCGUAAAGCGGAUCGUGGAGACGCGCAAUGGAUGCCAUUAGGAGGGAGUCACGUAGAAUUGCAUGGGUAGCCUGACAACUAAAUCGAACUUUAUAUGGGGUAGCUUACGUAGGUGCGAACGGCAUAACCGAUCGUUUUCUUACCGAUCGUUAAACGUUUUAAACGUUCUCCUUCAUCGGCACUCCCCUCAUCUCCUCCCUCUCUAUCUCUCUCUCUCUCUCUCUAACACGUCGUCGUUGUUGUUGUUAUUGUCGCAGGUGCAUUGCCCCCUUGGCCGAUGUUGUUGCACUUCUAUCUCUACCGAGCGAAAGGCGCGAGCUCGAGCGACAUUUCGUACGUGAGUACGCGCCCCCUUUGCGCUCUGGCCGCUCUUGCUCUUUGCAAAACGGCUGUUCGCGUGCGCGCACGUGACUUUACGCACGAGCACGCUCCGCGGAAAAACGAUUCCUGUUUCUUCGAGUUUGACAAGGAGAAAGAAUACGAGAUAGAGAGAUAGAUAGAGAGAGACAGACAUAGAGAAAUAGAUAAAGAUAGAGAACGACGGGAAAUUCGCAGGAAACUUGCUCACCCCUUUGGAAUGUUCGGAUCGCGUUUGUCUCGACAACGACAAACCUGAACCUUUCGUUUGUCUUUCCCUCCUCUCUCUAUCCUUUUCUCCUCCUUACCUGUCCACUCACCUAGCACCUUUUCAAACGUACAUACAUACGUUUCCAUCCUUCGGUAAUUAAGUAUAUUCUCGUGGUUAUACAUAUAUAUAUAUAUAUAUAUAUAAUAUAUAUAUAUAUAUAAGCGAUUGUUAGGCGGUAUGUCUGUUAAUUACCGACGUUCUUAUCCCAGGUUAUUGCCAACACGUUGCCGACAAAUUGAAUGCGAUUGAAAAACUCGAUCUUUUUGUGUUUCCUUUCACGGUGUUUACGUUUGCCUGUAUGCAUUGAGUUACACAGAGUUAUAAUAACCAAUCUUUUUUAACUAGUAGCUUCCUUGGAUAAUUAUCUACCGUUCGUUGAUUCUAUACGCCGGGAACGCAAUCAAACAAGAUAAUAUUCCUUUUGUAAUGUUGAAAUCUAUAUAAUUUUUUAUCGUUCGUCGAUUAUCGUAUUAAAUAAUUACGUGUAUGUGGUAUGUAUGUAUGUACAAACGUCAAUACGUGUAGCGUACGAUCGAUCGUAACGAGAGUCUCGAUCUUUUCUUUUUUAACUUUUCUUUCCUUCUUUCAUUUUGUUCGUUCCUUCUCUUCUUCUUCUCCUUCUUUCGUUUUUAAUUUUCGAUUUCACAGAUUUUCGCAAUUUUUUCUUAUCCUUGUUUUUCUUUUUCUUAAUCGUAAGUUACCCACGUGUUAUGCAGAUACAUUUAACGAAAGUUUAAUAUCAUUAGAGUGUUUGCGUUUACUCGAAAGAAGAUGAGAGAGAGAAACGAGAGGAAAUAAGGAGAGGAGAUAGAGGUGCGAUCGGCCGCGCGAAUCGUGACGUAAUAAGGCGCGUUCGCGCGCAAAUAUACGAGCGGACGCUGACGCCUUCCUCGCGUAGCCGGCGCGGCGCGACGCGGGCUCCUCGCGUCCUCCUUAGACUUCCCCGUUCAUCCGGUACGUUUCUUGAGGUCUUUGAACCCGUGCUCACCGAUUUCCGCGACGAUCUCCGCGCCGAUUCUUGCCUCCGCCUUCUUGACUCCGAUGAAUUUCGCGCUUGCAAAAUCAACGCAUAUGACCCGUGCUGUGAUACUCUUUGUAUCCUCUUAAAGCGUGUUUAGCGAAUUAUUAUUAUUCUUGUUGUGGUUAUUAUUAUUAUUUUUUUUUAUAAACAUUUAUACUCGAUGUACUUCCGAUACGUAUACGUAAAAACGAAAGCUCGUGUUCGUUUUAUUGAGAAAUCUUCAUGAGAGAGUCAAAGAAAAAGGAAAUGGAGAGGAAAAGAAGAAAAGAAGUGCUUCUGAUCAGAUUGAUAAUUUUUACUCUACAAUUUUUUCUUUUAUUUUAUAUUCUUUAUUUAUAUAUGUAUGUAUGUACGUAUGUAUAAGUAUAUAGAAGAUAAUUUAGAAGAGAAUUGAAGAAAUUGGAUGCGUAUGAAAAAAUACACGUGCGUUAAAAUCGAUAAAUUUGUAUUUUUUAGAUACGUGUAUUCCCCGUGUUAAUCUCUUAUCUAAUUGAGAAAUAAAUUUGUCUCGAAUUUAAAGGAUAAGGUCAGGAAAGAUAAAUAGUAACCAUAAGAAUUUCUAUGAUAUUUGUUCGUCUCUACAAGUUGAAUGUCCUCACAGAGGAGAUGGGAUAUUGCAAAACGCGUGCACGUAAAGUUCAUCGUAAAAGGCGGAGAAGGGCAGUCCUUUUUAAUAAUAUCGCCGAUAUCGACCAAUCGAUCGCAACCCGCGAGUUUAGAGUUCGAUGACCUCUGUCGAGUAGCCGAAUUCGCCGAGAGCGUUCUAUGGAAGCUUAUGGAUGCUGUGUAUGUAAAUACGAUUUGAAAUUUAUUUGAUUACCAUAUCUCUCUCUCUCUCUGUCUCUCUUUGGUAUUUACAUAGUCGAAAUAACAUAAGAUCCUAAUAAGUGAUGUUCUUUGCUGGUGUAACGUAUCUCGAUAGGAGGCACAUUAAAGAUAGAAAUCUUUAUUAGAUGAUUAGAAAAUGAAACAGAAAUAUUCUCGUUAAUUCUCGUCUGGCAAGAAACACACACACGCGCGCGUACGUAUAGAGAGAUUUCGUAUAUUUAAAAUACUAUCAAUAAUUUGAUGUUAGUUCGAUUUAAAUUUAAGUUUUCGCUUCGUUCUCUCUUUCUCUCUCUUUCUCUCUUGGAAUAUCAUCAAAGUUGAGUGGAUAGCAAUAGGUCAUAUGGGCCGAGACGAAAGUCUAUUACCAUUGAAUCUUCGUCGAAUCGAUCUCACGAGGUUCGAAUCGCGGAAGCGUAUGCGAGUCAGGGCAAAGAAGAAUAAGAAAAAGAAAAAGUUGAAGUCGAAGUCGAAGAGGAGAAGAUCGAAGGGGAGGUCGAAGAGGAGGUCGAAGAGGAGUGCGGCCUUUAAACCACGGGUUCGAUGACCUCCCAAAUUAAAGACAACUCGCUGUUGCUCUUCCUCGUGUCGUUGUAACCGUUCAUGAAGUCAAACGAAUUCGGAGCUUUCGGUCAAUCGGCUAGGCCAACUAACGUCGUUUCAACGUAGUUCGACGUAGUAGAAGAGGACGAAGGACGAGGACGAGGACGAGGACGAGAACGAAGAGUUAGAACAAGAAGAAGAAGAAGAAGAAGAAGAAGGAAGAGGAAGACGAAGACGAAGACGAAGUUUAAACUUCUGACGCAAGGGUCAUCAUCGACGAAAACAUCGAUCGUCACAAGUAGGGACGAAAAAGACGGUACUCCGAGUGCGGCACUUAGGCCACUUUGCCGGUCAUUCACCUCGCUUGUCGAGUUCGCUCGAAGCGCCGCUCUUAUUCGCCUCGUUUCGCAGUAUCGCGAGGCUUCUUCUCAUCGUUCGAUAUCAGCACCAUCUCCUUCCCAUCAGCCAAAUUUUCUUUCGCAAAUUUUAUCUCGAAGUACGAUCGCCGUUUUAUAUAUACAUAUAUACGCAUCGCGUUAUCAUUCGCUAUCCUUCGCUUCCUACCUUCCCAAGAGCGUUUCUUAAUUAUUAUCAUUAUUUCAUUAUAGAUCGUAGCACGUGAAGUCUCUCUUCAAUAACAUUUCGAAAAUUCUUAAUUGUCAGCUGGAAGGUGUCCAAUGAAAGAUCGAAAUGUUCCGAACUAGUCUCAACGAGGCUAUAAUUUUUGGCAAUUGUUCAAAGGAUCUUCGAUUCGUUCUCCUUGGUCCGAUAAUUAUAUUCCCUAAGGGAACAGAUACUUUAUACAUACGUACGUAUAUAUAUAUAUAUAUAUAUAUAUAUAUAUAUAUAUGUAUAUAGAGUUAUAUAUGUGUUAGUAAUACGUUCUCUAUUUUCGACGUUAACUUCGUGCACGCGAUUCGUUUCCUAGAUAAAUCAACGAUACUUAGUAAGGUAUACUCAAUACGCGUUAUUGUCGCGAUUUAUCGCGUGAUUUUAAUGCGUAGUUUUGGAUUAUGUUUCUUCCAGGUUCUCGCGUGUCACGUAAGACGGGAUUUUAACCGCUGGAUACUCAACGUUAGAAACAUUAUCUCAUGCGAACAGCUGCGUUCUAAUUGCAAACGUAGCCAAAUGUAAUUACCGUGUAGUACCGCGUGAAUACCUAUCUUACAUUUUAAGUACUACUAUGUAUUUACACGUUCGAUCGUUCCUUCGAGCAAACGUUCGCGUACCGCCGGCAACGUUAUCAUUUUAAUUAGAACGUCGAUGUGUCAGCGAUAAAAGAGACUCGUUCCAGAUUUUAAAAGGAGCACCUUAGUUUGAUACACUAUAAGAGACACAUGUACUUACGUAUAGAUAUAUACUAUGCAAAAUUAAAUGGUUCCUCUCGUUUAUGCGUUAUUAAAAAGUUUUUACUUCCUAUCGAGAUAAGUCCUCGUAAUAGACAUUAUCGAAAUGUGGGUUAACACCCGCGGCUGAUAAAAAGAAAAAGAAAA